rnacentral:rRNA from 1 species
UACGUAGGUGGCGAGCGUUGUCCGGAUUUACUGGGCGUAAAGGGAGCGUAGGCGGACUUUUAAGUGAGAUGUGAAAUACUCGGGCUCAACUUGAGUGCUGCAUUUCAAACUGGAAGUCUAGAGUGCAGGAGAGGAGAAUGGAAUUCCUAGUGUAGCGGUGAAAUGCGUAGAGAUUAGGAAGAACACCAGUGGCGAAGGCGAUUCUCUGGACUGUAACUGACGCUGGGGCUCGAAAGCGUGGGGAGCAAACAAG